GAACAAAAACACAAACGAACCAUGUCCACCGAAUUAAAC
rnacentral:ribozyme from 1 species